CGCUGCGCAGCUACACAUGCAGUCGAACGGCAGCACAGAGGAGCUUGCUCCUUGGGUGGCGAGUGGCGGACGGGUGAGGAAUGCAUCGGAAUCUGCCUAUUUGUGGGGGAUAACGUAGGGAAACUUACGCUAAUACCGCAUACGUCCUACGGGAGAAAGUGGGGGACCUUCGGGCCUCACGCAGAUAGAUGAGCCGAUGCCGGAUUAGCUAGUUGGCGGGGUAAAGGCCCACCAAGGCGACGAUCCGUAGCUGGUCUGAGAGGAUGAUCAGCCACACUGGAACUGAGACACGGUCCAGACUCCUACGGGAGGCAGCAGUGGGGAAUAUUGGACAAUGGGCGCAAGCCUGAUCCAGCCAUGCCGCGUGUGUGAAGAAGGCCUUCGGGUUGUAAAGCACUUUUGUCCGGAAAGAAAAGCGCUCGAUUAAUACUCGGGUGUUAUGACGGUACCGGAAGAAUAAGCACCGGCUAACUUCGUGCCAGCAGCCGCGGUAAUACGAAGGGUGCAAGCGUUACUCGGAAUUACUGGGCGUAAAGCGUGCGUAGGUGGUUUGUUAAGUCUGAUGUGAAAGCCCUGGGCUCAACCUGGGAACUGCAUUGGAAACUGGCUUACUAGAGUGCGGUAGAGGGGUGUGGAAUUCCCGGUGUAGCAGUGAAAUGCGUAGAUAUCGGGAGGAACAUCUGUGGCGAAGGCGACACCCUGGACCAGCACUGACACUGAGGCACGAAAGCGUGGGGAGCAAACAGGAUUAGAUACCCUGGUAGUCCACGCCCUAAACGAUGCGAACUGGAUGUUGGGGGCAACUUGGCUCUCAGUAUCGAAGCUAACGCGUUAAGUUCGCCGCCUGGGAAGUACGGUCGCAAGACUGAAACUCAAAGGAUUGACGGGGCCCGCACAAGCGGUGGAGUAUGUGGUUUAAUUCGAUGCACGCGAAGAACCUUACCUGGCCUUGACAUGCACGGAACUUUCCAGAGAUGGAUU
rnacentral:rRNA from 1 species